GAGGGUAUAGCUCAGUGGUAGAGCACAUGUUUAGCAUGCACAAGGUCCUGGGUUCAAUCCCCAGUACCUCCA
rnacentral:tRNA from 1 species